GAUGAACGCUGGCGGCGUGCUUAACACAUGCAAGUCGAACGGGGUCCAACCUUCGGGUGAAGACCUAGUGGCGAACGGGUGAGUAACACGUGGGCAAUCUGCCCCUCUCUUCGGGACAACUCAGGGAAACUUGAGCUAAUACCGGAUACUCCGGGAUGGUCGCAUGGCCGACCCGGGAAAGCUCCUACGGAGAGGGAUGAGCCCGCGGCCCAUUAGCUUGUUGGUGGGGUAACGGCCCACCAAGGCGACGAUGGGUAGCCGAGCUGAGAGGCUGAUCGGCCUCACUGGGACUGAGACACGGCCCAGACUCCUACGGGAGGCAGCAGUGGGGAAUCUUGCGCAAUGGGCGAAAGCCUGACGCAGCAACGCCGCGUGCGGGAUGAAGGCCUUCGGGUCGUAAACCGCUUUCAGCAGGGACGAAAAUGACUGUACCUGCAGAAGAAGCCCCGGCUAACUACGUGCCAGCCGCCGCAGUAAUAC
rnacentral:rRNA from 1 species